rnacentral:rRNA from 1 species
UUGACCUCGGAUCAGGUAGGGAUACCCGCUGAACUUAAGCAUAUCAAUAAGCGAGGA